rnacentral:tRNA from 1 species
UGUGAUGUAGCUCAGUUGGGAGAGCACUUGCCUAGCAUGCACAAAACCCUGGGUUCAAUCCCAAGUACCACAU